CUUUCUUGUCUUUUCAGAAACAAGCCAGAUCUAGCAGCCGGCCAGGCUGCUCCAUCUAUUUUUGCUCCUAACCACAGCUGCUGUUGGUAGGAAAGCCAGCCCUUGCUGGGNCUGAGUCUUCACAGGUUGGGAUGGUCCCCAGAGUGCUGGCAGGCUGGAGCCCCAUCAGGGAGGAUAGCAAGGACAUAGGACAGGGGACACACACAGCCUUCUGAACAAACAGCCUCAGGCCACCUGCUGUCCCUCCCCCCAACCUCCUGGAGCCUCACAGGAGCCUCAGGCUGUAACGAAUCUGCAGCCUUCCUCAGGGGCACUGUGGGCGGCUGGGGUUUGUCUUUUGAAGAUGUCCAGAGAUGGGUGAAGAGAGCAGUUGCUUGGUUCAGGGAAUUUCUUUCUUCUUCUUUUUGUUUUUCCUCCCCCUUUCUUGUCUUUUCAGAAACAAGCCAGAUCUAGCAGCCGGCCAGGCUGCUCCAUCUAUUUUUGCUCCUAACCACAGCUGCUGUUGGUAGGAAAGCCAGCCCUUGCUGGGUCCCUGUGACUCUGCCUGUCGGCUGAGAGGGGCUAAGGUGUAGGAGAGGCCAGGUUGGGAGAGUCUGGGUUCUUGACAGUCUGGGAGCAGUCCCCCAGUGCCGCUUCCUGGACGCUGGCCUGAGAGGUCUAGGGGGGGAGUCGGGGGCUGCUUCCCUUGCACCAUCUUGCACUAGGGGUGGGCUGGGGGCAGGGCACCAUCCCUGUGACUAGCUAGCGCUGCCUUCCGUUCCCUGGGCUAACUGUGGCUGUCCUGUGUCUUGCCUGACAGGGGCGGUCCUCUGGAAUGUCACACCAUUGCUCUUAGCCACAGACUGGACUUGAGGCUGAGAUGGACACACCCAGAACCACCUCCCCCCCCCAGGGCAGUACCCUCCACGGGCACAGUUUAGACCUGGUUAAAGACACCCCAUGCUUUGUCCCAUGGCCGUUGGUUCCUCCAUUUCCACCAGCCUGUGCCUUGAGUCCUUUCUCCCAGUGAGAAUGCUCCACAGAGAGAGAGAAGGAGACUGGUUGCUCCCACCCCCCCACACACCCAAGUCGCCAGAAGCCUAGUGCUCUGCCCUCAAGAUCUGGCCUGAGAAGAGGUGAUGCUAAGGCCAGGACAGGCCCUUGGGGACAAAGCCUGCUCUCCACCUCAGUGUGUGUGCCCCCACUCACAGGGACCUCCAUCUUCCCCAUGUCCCUGCCCUAUCCCAUCCCAGACACAUCCACCCAGGCCUUGCCCAGCAUCCAAGAUGGCAGAAGCUGUUCCUGGGCUGCCACUAGCCCAAGGCCCCAGGGCGGCCUAAGGAUGCACCCGACACAAGUGAGCUGUAACCUAGCAACCGGGCCUUCCAGUGGGUUUCUUCCCUUCCCUGUUGAAAGGCACCUUUGCCACUCUUGGGCCCCGCCCCGCCCAGCCUCUCAGAGGGAGGCUGUGAACAGCAAGGUUGAGCAGGAACUGGGGAGUGCAGGCUCAUGCCCGGGGCGAGCUUGGUGACUCAGACCUGCUGUGCUCCCCCAAAGCUGCCUGGGUUGAAGGUGCUCCAGCUCUCUGCAGAGAGUGGACAUUCCGCUCCUCCCACCAAGGAGGGACGGCCUGGGGCCUCAGAGGAGCCAGAAGCCCAGGGGGCCCAGGGGCACCUCACAGUAUAUUCUUCGUAGCCCCAGGGCUCUGAGCUCAGCUGGGGACUGGAGGCUUGGCAGCUUUGCCCUGAGAGACUUUUGCUAAGCUCUUGUCCCUGGCCCCUGCCUGGGCCAUCUCUCAAGGGCAGCCAGGCCGGCCUGGGGAAGUCUGAGCACCCCUGGCCACGAGGGCCCCCUUUCCCGCUCUGUUCAGCGGCUCUUCGUGCUGCCACUGCGGGGUAGAAGCUGGCCUUGAUGGAAUGGUACUUGGAAGGCUGUGUACAUAGUUCUUUUCCUCUUUGUUGUUUCUGGUUUGCUUUGCUUUUGACAGCUUCGUUUUAUUUUGUUGUUGAUGUCACUUUUUGGCCAUGUAAACUAUUUCUGGUAAUUUUAUGUUUUUAUUUAUGAAUAAAGAAUGCCAUUUCUCACGCUCUCCAC
rnacentral:lncRNA from 1 species